AGGACGAACGCUGGCGGCGUGCUUAACACAUGCAAGUCGAGCGGUAAGGCCCUUUCGGGGGUACACGAGCGGCGAACGGGUGAGUAACACGUGGGUGACCUGCCCUUAGCUCUGGGAUAAGCCUGGGAAACUGGGUCUAAUACCGGAUAUGACUCCACGGUGCAUGUCGUGGGGUGGAAAGCCUUGUGCGGCUGAGGAUGGGCCCGCGGCCUAUCAGCUUGUUGGUGGGGUGAUGGCCUACCAAGGCGACGACGGGUA
rnacentral:rRNA from 1 species